rnacentral:rRNA from 1 species
UACGGGGGGAGCAAGCGUUGUUCGGAUUUACUGGGCGUAAAGGGCGCGUAGGCGGCGUGACAAGUCACUUGUGAAAUCUCCGGGCUUAACUCGGAAAGGUCAACUGAUACUGUGCGACUAGAGUGCAGAAGGGGCAACUGGAAUUCUCGGUGUAGCGGUGAAAUGCGUAGAUAUCGAGAGGAACACCUGCGGCGAAGGCGGGUUGCUGGGCUGACACUGACGCUGAGGCGCGAAAGCCAGGGGAGCGAACGGG